UACGUAGGGUGCAAGCGUUGUCCGGAAUUAUUGGGCGUAAAGAGCUCGUAGGCGGUUCGUCGCGUCGGCUGUGAAAUCCCGAGGCUCAACCUCGGGUCUGCAGUCGAUACGGGCGGACUGGAGUUCGGCAGGGGAGACUGGAAUUCCUGGUGUAGCGGUGAAAUGCGCGGAUAUCGGGAAGAACACCCGUGGCGAAGGCGGUUCUCUGGGACGGUACUGGACGCUGAGACGCGAAAGCGUGGGGGAGCGAACAGG
rnacentral:rRNA from 1 species